GGCGGGCGAGGCCGAGCGCCCCGCUCCGCCGUGCGUUCGCCGCGCGCGCCCGCUGCCCUCGGGCGCCCGGGAAACUUCGCGGCCGGGGCGCGGGGAGAGCCGGCUGGCUCCGUCGGCAGCACGGUUCCCAGACUGAGGACGGGGGCUCCAGGUGGGAUCCAUAUGUGAUGACAAGAGCUGUAGCGGCCACCUUGGAGUCAAGGAUGAAGGUCAUAUCUGGAGGAUGAUAGCAUCAUCUGAUCUUUGAUCUGUUACAAGAUCUCACAUUGGAGCAUAUUUGCUUGCCUCAUUGUUUUCCAUACGUAUUACUCCAUGGUAUGUGAAGUGAAAGACUGUCUCAUUCCAAUACCUAAGAAUCAUAAUAUGCAUUAACGUAUUAUCGUCUCUCGGAAGUUUUGCAGUAAAGAAAGACUUCAACCUCAGUUUCCAAAUAUGUUGGACCAUGAAAUAUCCUUGGGCUGAAUCAAAACCAGAAAUAGGAAUUGAACCACCAUAUUGUGAACAGCCCUAUGGAGAGAUUUACGUGGCAGGAACUGAGACCUCUUGGCCACAGCCCAUGAGGGCCUGAGACCUGCCAACUGCCAAGGGAGUGACGGUGGAAGUGGAUCCUUCUCCAUUCAAGCCUUGAGGUGCCCACAGCCCUGCUGAUGCUGUGAUGACAAUCUUUGAGACACUGAGUCAGAGGCUGUGCCUCACAGAGACUGUGAGGUAACGUUUGUUGUUAAAAGCUGCUAAAUUUGGGGAUAAUUUGUCACGUAGCAAAGGAGAACAAAUACAUCAUCAAACUGGAAGAACUAUUUUGCAACCGAAGCACGGUACUAAGACACCAAGUUUCCUCUAUCUUUUGCACGUGUGAGCUUUGCCAGUGAACUCACUUAACCUUUCUGGCUUCCAUUUCCUCAUCCGUCAUAUGGGGAUAGUAAACCCCAAAACCCCAUACAAUUGUUCAUUUAUUUAACCUUUCCUAUAAAACUAGUUAGAGAGUGUCCUACUCCACAAAGUGGCUCCAUUUCUUGCUUGUGGAAAGAAAGCACCUUUGUGAGGCUGUGGAAGAUAAAAUACCAGGUUUUGAAAUGCAGGUUUUGUUUUGGGAAGACUCAAAUUAAAUCAGUGUGCUCAUCCUGACUUUGUUAAAUAAGAAUUCGAGGCCAAAUAUGUGUAAGUGUGGCAGGAUUUUUUUAUUUUUAUUUUUUUUUUACCUCAUUACCCCGGAUUCAUUGUCUCUCCACUUCAAAGAAUGAAGAUGUGGAUACAAAAUAAAUGAGCAACCGGCAAAACUUUGUUAGAACAUAAUAAGAUCAGAGGUAGGAAUAGUAGGAAAGCUCUCUUUACAGAAUGGGAGCAUUCGAAAGUGAAUGCCCCUGGAGUGUAGGCAAGGGACUCUGUUUUAUAGGAUUUGGGUCCAGCCCUUACCUUCCCCCUUGUUCCUUCUCCGUUUUUACCCUUAUUGGCUAGGUAACUCUAAAUCCCUACUCUCUCCUUUUUGAUUGGCUCGCUUCCAUUGUAUGAGGGGUGGUCAGUAGCCUUACCAUUCCUCAUGGGUCAUACAUUUUAUGGUCCAGUACUUACUUUUAUUUGGGUCCUUUGUCACAUUCCUGAGGGAAACCUGAGGGGGUGGUGUUUGUUACAUUCUUAAGAGAAACUUGACGCCUGAGGGAAUUUGCUCAAGGUCAGACAUUCCCAGCAUUGUUUUAAAAUGUGUGUUUCCCCCACCCAGGGACCUCGGGUCCUGACCUUUCCCUCUCUGCCUAGUGUAUCCUAGGUUUCCCUGUCAAAUAAGUCCUACUCGCCUGUUACCUCCUCCGCAAGGUCUUCCCUGAUAAGCCUGGGUGAAGCAGCCCCCCCUACUCCCAACCCCUAUUUCUGCUCCCAUCUUUUCAUCGCACUAAGCAGUAAUGCAAUUUGUUGCAGUCGUUUGUUUCUGGUCUGCUCCUCCCUCGAUUUUGUGAGGGCAGGAACCUCUCUGCCUUAGUCACUGCCAGCACACUGCCAGCGUGAAGUCGGAGCUCUAUAUAUGUGUUGCCUGCCUGAAAGGGGUGGGAGUGUGUUUGCUGCCUUCGUGAUCUUGCCAAGAGCUAGUUGCUGAGCGUUUCAGGUGAAGCACUUGGUUAAAAGUAAAGAAAUCAUCGUUAUGUUCAAUUUAGGAUUUUUCUGGUGUUCAUAGGAUUCAGGAUUGAGAAAUUGCAGAAGGCUCUGGAUAGAAGCCAGUGAAGAGUUACAAAAAUCAUUGCAAAAUCUUAGCCCCAGAAGCUUUAGAAAACGAGAGAUGGACCAACAGUCUUGAGGCCCUUCUACCUGCUAGCACCCUUUGAAACAUUCCAAAACAUUUGUUAUUUCAAGGGGGGCACUUGCCCUGUUCUCCCCUCACCCCAUUUUUUUUUUGUCAUUGUUACCAUUUGUUCUGGAAAUAGACCUAUUACUGGUUUAUGGUGGCUAAAUACAGACUUUCAGAGCCUUCAACUGAGAAAAUGAAAGCCUAACUUCCAAAACUCUUCUUUGGAUGCAUUAAUUUUCUUCCACUGAACCUUCAUUUAUCCUCCUCCUACUAGAACACAUCCUUUGUUUAGUGAGUAUGUGUGUGUGAUGGGGGUGGUUAGGGAGCUGUGAAAAGGAAGAAUGAAGGGAAGUGUGGAUAUAUUCAGAUUUUUAUUUAAGUACCAUAGUUAAAAAGUAUUCUCAUGUAACAUUCUGGAAAAAGUGCAGGACUUAAUGUCACUUCAUUGGAGACUCCAAAAGGAUGGCGUAUAGUUGUAUUAAAUGAAUUGCUUCAGAAAGAAGGCUUAAAAAAUAACCUCAACCCUUCUUAAUCUCAGGGACUUCACUAAGCCUUUAGCCUUUAAAAAAAAAAAAAGUCUAGCCUUUUCAUUUAUUUUCCUUCUAAAAUAAACAUCACAAGAUGAAAAAUUAAUUUCAACUUUUCAUAGAGGUGGCAAGGGGGGGCUGUCUUCCUUCGCCCUUAACCCUUCUUCCCUCAGGCAUGAUUCUGGAGCUGAAUAAAGACAAUAUGUUCCAAAUUGCCAAUCACAUUAGUCUCUGUGUGGGCUGCUUAAAACAUGCAAAUGGCUCUGAAAAAUGUCUCUCAUCCUACAAAGAUAAAUGAAGGUGUGUAUCACCAUCAAUUGCAGUAGAAGUCAAAGGAGGACAGAAAGCACUGAUAAACGAGACGUCUUUGCCUUUCCCCAUAGACAAACAUUCUGUGAGGAAACAUGAGUGUUGAUGGAUUACAUCAGCCUCCUGACCUUACACAUACCUGUAGCCUUCACUGCAGCCUAUCCUCCCCAGCACUGCAGACACAUCUUCCUAAAGGAUAGUUUUGUUUACUUAACUCCUGUGCUCAAACACCUUCACUGGCUCCCUAUUGCCCUUUUCAAACCAGUGUUCAAGGCCUCAUUAACCUUGCCAUCCUUAUUACCCACAGCCUCUCAAAGUAGAUCUUACAGGGGUGCCUGGGUGGCUCAGUCGGUUAAGCGUCCGACUUUGGCUCAGGUCAUGAUCUCCCGGCUCAUGGGUUUGAGCCCCGCGUCAG